rnacentral:rRNA from 1 species
AUUGAACGCUGGCGGCAUGCCUUACACAUGCAAGUCGAACGGCAGCACGGGUGCUUGCACCUGGUGGCGAGUGGCGAACGGGUGAGUAAUACAUCGGAACAUGUCCUGUAGUGGGGAUAGCCCGGCGAAAGCCGGAUUAAUACCGCAUACGAUCCACGGAUGAAAGCGGGGGACCUUCGGGCCUCGCGCUAUAGGGUUGGCCGAUGGCUGAUUAGCUAGUUGGUGGGGUAAAGGCCUACCAAGGCGACGAUCAGUAGCUGGUCUGAGGGGAGGACCAGCACACUGGGACUGAGACACGGCCCAGACUCCUACGGGAGGCAGCAGUGGGGAAUUUUGGACAAUGGGCGAAAGCCUGAUCCAGCAAUGCCGCGUGUGUGAAGAAGGCCUUCGGGUUGUAAAGCACUUUUGUCCGGAAAGAAAUCCUUGACUCUAAUACAGUCGGGGGAUGACGGUACCGGAAGAAUAAGCACCGGCUAACUACGUG